AUUUAAAUAGCUUAAAUAAAGCGAAGGAUUGUAAAUCCUGUGUUGGAUUAUCCUUUAGCCU
rnacentral:tRNA from 1 species